rnacentral:rRNA from 1 species
AGUGAACGCUGGCGGUAGGCCUAACACAUGCAAGUCGAACGGCAGCACAGUAAGAGCUUGCUCUUACGGGUGGCGAGUGGCGGGCGGUGGAGGAAUACAUCGGAAUCUACUUUUUCGUGGGGGAUAACGUAGGGAAACUUACGCUAAUACCGCAUACGACCUACGGGUGAAAGCAUGGGAUCUUCGGACCUUGCGCGAUUGAAUGAGCCGAUGUCGGAUUAGCUAGUUGGCGGGGUAAAGGCCCACCAAGGCGACGAUCCGUAGCUGGUCUGAGAGGAUGAUCAGCCACACUGGAACUGAGACACGGUCCAGACUCCUACGGGAGGCAGCAGUGGGGAAUAUUGGACAAUGGGCGAAAGCCUGAUCCAGCCAUGCCGCGUGGGUGAAGAAGGCCUUCGGAUUGUAAAGCCCUUUUGUUGGGAAAGAAAGGCAGCAGGUUAAUACCCUGCUGUUCUGACGGUACCAAAAGAAUAAGCACCGGCUAACUUCGUG